GCCGGCAGCUAGCUCUCUGCAACUCUCACUUGGUCACCCACUGAAGCUAAGCACGGCUGUGCCCGGUCAGUACCUAUAUGGGAGACCACAUGGGAAAGCUAGGUUGAUGUUGGAA
ensembl:rRNA 5S_rRNA 5S ribosomal RNA